rnacentral:rRNA from 1 species
GUAAGUAAUUUUCCUUCAAAACGGGGAUAGCAUCGUGAAAACGGUGGUAAUACCCGAUAAUAUAAGUGAUCCGCAUGGAUUUCUUAUUAAAGACGGGGACCGCAAGGCCUGUCGUUUGGAGAUGAGCUUGCGUACCAUCAGCUAGUUGGUAGGGUAACGGCCUACCAAGGCUUAGACGGUUAGCUGGUCUGAGAGGACGACCAGCCACAUUGGGACUGAGACACUGCCCAGACUCCUACGGGAGGCUGCAGUCGAGAAUAUUUAGCAAUGGACGAAAGUCUGACUAUGCGACGCCGCGUGCAGGAUGAAGGUCUUCGGAUUGUAAACUGCUUUUGUUAGGGGAGAAACCUGUAUCAUUAAUAGUGGUACAGCUGACGGUACCUGACGAAUAAGCCACGGCAAACUCCGUGCCAGCAGCCGCGGUAAUACGGAGGUGGCAAGCGUUACUCGGAAUUAUUGGGUGUAAAGGGCAGGUAGGUGGUCUUGCAAGUGAGAGGUGAAAUCCCACGGUUCAAUCGUGGAACUGCCUUUCAAACUGCUUGACUUGAGAGUGUUAGGGGAGAAUGGAAUUCCCGGUGU